CCUACGGGAGGCAGCAGUGAGGAAUAUUGGUCAAUGGGCGAGAGCCUGAACCAGCCAAGUCGCGUGAGGGAGUACUGCCCUAUGGGUUGUAAACCUCUUUUGUCGGGGAGCAAAAGCCGGACGUGUCCGGCUGUGAGAGUACCCGAAGAAAAAGCAUCGGCUAACUCCGUGCCAGCAGCCGCGGUAAUACGGAGGAUGCGAGCGUUAUCCGGAUUUAUUGGGUUUAAGGGGGGCGCAGGCGGAUUUUUAAGUCAGCGGUAAAAUCGUGGGGCUCAACCCCAUCCAGCCGUUGAAACUGGGGAUCUAGAGUGUGCGAGAGGUAUGCGGAAUGCGUGGUGUAGCGGUGAAAUGCAUAGAUAUCACGCAGAACCCCGAUUGCGAAGGCAGCAUACCGGUGCACAACUGACGCUCAGGCACGAAAGCGUGGGUAUCGAACAGGAUUAGAUACCCGUGUAGUC
rnacentral:rRNA from 1 species